GCUUACCAUGCAGUCGAACGAUGAUGCCCAGCUUGCUGGGCGGAUUAGUGGCGAACGGGUGAGUAAUACGUGAGUAACCUGCCCUUGACUCUGGGAUAAGCCUGGGAAACUGGGUCUAAUACUGGAUACUACUUCCUGCCGCAUGGUGGGUGGUGGAAAGGGUUUUACUGGUUUUGGAUGGGYUCACGGCCUAUCAGCUUGUUGGUGGGGUAAUGGCUCACCAAGGCGACGACGGGUAGCCGSCCUGAGAGGGUGACCGGCCACACUGGGACUGAGACACGGCCCAGACUCCUACGGGAGGCAGCAGUGGGGAAUAUUGCACAAUGGGCGGAAGCCUGAUGCAGCGACGCCGCGUGAGGGAUGACGGCCUUCGGGUUGUAAACCUCUUUCAGUAGGGAAGAAGCGAGAGUGACGGUACCUGCAGAAGAAGCGCCGGCUAACUACGUGCCAGCAGCCGCGGUAAUACGUAGGGCGCAAGCGUUGUCCGGAAUUAUUGGGCGUAAAGAGCUCGUAGGCGGUUUGUCGCGUCUGCUGUGAAAGCCCGGGGCUCAACCCCGGGUCUGCAGUGGGUACGGGCAGACUAGAGUGCAGUAGGGGAGACUGGAAUUCCUGGUGUAGCGGUGAAAUGCGCAGAUAUCAGGAGGAACACCGAUGGCGAAGGCAGGUCUCUGGGCUGUUACUGACGCUGAGGAGCGAAAGCAUGGGGAGCGAACAGGAUUAGAUACCCUGGUAGUCCAUGCCGUAAACGUUGGGCACUAGGUGUGGGGGACAUUCCACGUUUUCCGCGCCGUAGCUAACGCAUUAAGUGCCCCGCCUGGGGAGUACGGCCGCAAGGCUAAAACUCAAAGGAAUUGACGGGGGCCCGCACAAGCGGCGGAGCAUGCGGAUUAAUUCGAUGCAACGCGAAGAACCUUACCAAGGCUUGACAUUCACCGGACCGCCCCAGAGAUGGGGUUUCCCUUCGGGGCUGGUGGACAGGUGGUGCAUGGUUGUCGUCAGCUCGUGUCGUGAGAUGUUGGGUUAAGUCCCGCAACGAGCGCAACCCUCGUUCUAUGUUGCCAGCACGUGAUGGUGGGGACUCAUAGGAGACUGCCGGGGUCAACUCGGAAGGAAGGUGGGGAUGACGUCAAAUCAUCAUGCCCCUUAUGKCUUGGGCUUCACGCAUGCUACAAUGGCCGGUACAAAGGGUUGCGAUACUGUGAGGUGGAGCUAAUCCCAAAAAGCCGGUCUCAGUUCGGAUUGAGGUCUGCAACUCGACCUCAUGAAGUCGGAGUCGCUAGUAAUCGCAGAUCAGCAACGCUGCGGUGAAUACGUUCCCGGGCCUUGUACACACCGCCCGUCAAGUCACGAAAGUUGGUAACACCCGAAGCCGGUGGCCUAACCCC
rnacentral:rRNA from 1 species